AUCCAUAUAGUUUUCCUUAAGGAAACUAGCAUGAGUAGAAACUUUAAUCAUAUUAUCUUUCGAAUUGUAGAAUAACCCACCCUUUCAGAUAUCCUACAAACAUGCAUAAUUAUGUUCGUGCAUCCAAUUUCUUUGCAUACUUAUCCAAAAUAUGGGUUGGACAACCCUAUAUUCUAAAGUGAUUUAAAGUGGGUUUCUUUUCAUACCACAGUUCAUAAGGUGUUUUACAAGAAGACUUGGUUAGAGCAUCUUUUAGAAUAUAGUAAGUUCUCUAUGUCGCAUAUCCCCAAAAGGAAGUAGGUAGUUGUGAAUCACUUAAUGUUGAGUGAACCAUGUCAAGCAAUGUUCUAUUCCUUCUAUUAUCUACUCCAUUAUGCUGUGGACUUCAUGGCGCAAUCAACUAGGAUAAAAUCUCAUUCUCUAUGAGGUAUCUUAAGAACUUUUCAGACAAGUAUGCCCUACCUUGGUUGUACUAAAGAUUCUUCCAAGAUAAAUCUACACUUUUCCACUUCUGCACGAAAAUCUAGAAAUUUAUCAAAGGUUUCACUUUUUCGGUGCACUAGAUACACAUAUCCAUAUCAAGAAUAGUUUUUGAUGAAAAUUACGUAAAUCAUAACGUCCUCGGGCAUUGAUGCUCAUAGGACCACAUACAUCAAUGUCCUCAAGUUAUAAGGGUUGGUUGGACCUUGUACCUUUUGUAUUAAAAGACCUCUUAGUCAUUUUAACUUUCAAGAAAGAUUCACAUUGUGGAAGACUAACUUCCUUAAGAAUACUUAAGAAACCAUAUUUCAUGAGUCUUUUCAUUCUUUAUUAUUUAAUAUGAUCAAGUUUUAAGUGUCAUAGGUACCCCUCAUUAGAGUGAGAAGUUUUAAGCUUCUUAUUUACAAUUUUAGUUUGAAGCAUCGAGUAGUUAUUUGGUUUGAUACAAUAGAGAUUUUUUUCCAUCCAUCCAUUACAAGUCUAUGAAUGACUUUUGAGAAUAUCAAUCCCUUUAUUGAAUGUCAUGGGAUAACUUUCGUUAAAUAAAUAUGCUACAGAAAUUAAGUUCUUUUAAAAAUGAGGCACAUAAAAUAUGUUCUUAAAAAAAUAUUCCUAAAAUUAUCAAACUGUAAAAUAAUUGUAAUUGCCCUAACCUGAAUCUGUUGUUAGAAUAGUGUUACGGAGUAUUACCAGAGUUUACGGAACAAUAACAGAUAAUUCAUGUCAUUUGCUGUUCAUAUCAAAAACUAACCAUAUCAUCCCUUGAAUAGGCCCUUGAGGCCCAAUUUAAGCAUUAGAAACAAUUUGGGACUAAAUCGGGAUCUCAAUAAAUUUUUCACAAAAUUUCAAAUUUUUUCUUAGAUACAAGGGUCACACGCCCUUGUGAGUAGGCUGUGUGGUUCACACGCCAAGUGACAUGCCCAUCUCUCAGGCCGUGUGGGCAUUCAAUGGGAGCCAUACGUUCUUGUCCCAGCCCAUGUAACACACUGACUUAAGUCACACGGCCAGCCAUACACCCGUGUUUUAGGUCGUGUGGUUAAUUUAAAUCUUCAGAAUUUAGGUGUAGCUUUCACACAGCCAAGAUACACACCUGUGUUCUAGGCCACGUGUUACACACGGCUGAGACACACGCCUGUGUCUCUACCCAUGUGCCCAAUUUUGAGUAUUCUGUUUCUCAAUUUUAAGAUGUUGGGGACACACAACCAAACCACAUGCCCUUGUGUCAGGCUAUGUGUUGCAUAGGAUCAAGACGCACGCUCGUGUGUCUACCCGUGUGGAAAAAAUAAAGCCAUUUCAUAGAUUUAUUUCACACCCAAAUUUUUGCUAUUAACCUACAAAAACCCUUGUACAUAUAUACCAACCAAUUCCAAGCAUUAAACCAAGCAAACAUCAUUAACAUGCUUAAUAUAACAUCACAUACAUUCAUAUACGCAAACUUACUUUAUUAAAAACAUAUAUUUUACCCUAGUUCAAUCUAACCAUACUAUAUACAUAUAUAUAUUAAGCAUGAUAUAAUCUUAUAAUAAUAUACCAAAACAUACCAUCACUAGCCAUUCCACUAGCUAGAUUACAAACAUCCCUUUGCAUGCCAACAUUGGUAAAGUUAGCCUAUACAUGCCAUUAUACCAAAAUAAGUUUAUUAUUUAUACGAUAGUGAGUUGAAGGAUAAUGUGAAGAUGCUCCGAUCUAUCUUCAACCUUUACGAGCUUCCAAGCACUAUAAAAUAGAGAAAAUAAAACCUAGUAAGCAUUUAUUGCUUAGUAAGUUCAUAUAAUAGGAAUUAAACUUACCAAUCAUAUUCAUUUCAAUAAUAAAAACAAUAACAUGCUUCCCAACAAAUUGACAAGUUUGCCUAGUCAUAUACACUCAAUUAAGCAAGUUAGUCAUAUAUUUCACAUGUACAUCAAAUAAACAUGGACCAGCUCAUCAUGCUACAAACUUUCAAGUAUGUCAGAAGCAUUCGAGACAUAAUUCCUUUAUUCUCACAAUUUCUCAUGUUAGGAGUUUUAUCCAUUGAAUUAUUGAAAUUUUAAUGGAUACUCAGAUAGUAUACAUGAGGUAUACAAAUCAGUGAUCCGUAAAUUCAUUUUCAGGUGUACCCGGUAGGGCACAUAAGAAGGGAGCACAUCCUUGAGCCACAUAUAUCAGGAUGCUCAAAUUAGCCAUGUAAUAAGACGCUUAUCUGGAAUAAACAAGAAACUCAUAAGAGUUUUAAUUAGAGAGCUUAUAGAGCUUAACAGAUAACUACAAAGAGUUAUUAUCAAGGAGCAACAGAUAGUCGUUUAACAGGGAGUUUAAGCAAUCCAGGUCAAGAAGCUCAUGAGAUCCUAUAUCAGGACGCUCACGUAGAGCUGUGUUUGUGUCCGCAUUAUAUGUUAGACCACGAUCGAUCGAAUCAUGUAACAAGACAUUCAUAAAGAGUUACGGUAGUGUGCAACACAUGCAAAAUCACUACCAACCAGGAUGCUCGCAAGAACUAUAUAACAAGAUGCUCGAGAAGGUUUUUAACAGGAUACCCGUUCAUGUAACAGCCUAGUUUUAGCUCAAUCGGAACAGUGGCUUCGGAACCACAAAUCCAAAAUUAUUUUAAUAUUAUUUUUGGUGUUUAUAGCAUGGGAAUGUAUAUGUGUGAAACUCUCGUGACCUAAUUUUAUCGCUUAAUAGCUCAAUUUGAGAAAAGUGACUUCAUCGUGUAAAAUGCAAAAGUACCAUGCUAUAAGUUAAAAGUUCUUAAUUGCUAUGGCUUAUUAAAUUAAAGGUCCUUAUGUUGUAAUUAGACCAUUGAUAUUGGAAUUUGACAUAAAUAGGCUUCAUACCAUGAAAUUUGGUGGCUUUUAAUUAAGGUUAAUUUUAUAAUUAAAUAAAACAAUGAAUAAUAAAUAAAACAAGAGAUGAAAACAUGUUCAUCUUUGUUUCUUUGAACCGAAAAUAGAGAAAGAAGAAAGCCAUUUAGGGCUCACAUAUUCGGCACACAUUGAUCUUGAUUAAAGUAUGUUCUUUGCUCGGUUUUUGAUGAUUUUUUUAUGUUUUUGUGACCGUUGCUUUGAGUACUAGUUAGCCCAUGCCUUAAUUUUUGAGUUUGUUGGUGAUUUUGUAAAAUGCCAUUGAUGAUAGUUGGAUGUUUUUGAAUGUUGAUGAUGAAAUAUGAAAGUUUGGUGUUUGAUAUACAAGUUUUGCAAAGUGAUUUUUAACAAAAAUGUCAAAUAAGGAUUUAAUUGUGAAAUUUAGAAAUUGAAGGGUUUAAAUCUGAAAUAAAUGAAAGUUUUGGGCUACUAGGGGUCCUUAUGAAAUUCGGCUAGCACGUAAUUGGAUUUAAUUGUGUGAAUUUUGUGUAUUUUUGAAAUAAGGACUAAAUUGUAAGAAAUGUGAAAGCUUAGGGCCAAAGUGUAGAUUGGCUAAAAUAUGUGUUUGUGGAUGAAAUUGAUUGAGUUGAUGAUUAAAUGGGUUAAUUUUGAAUACAUACAGAUCAAGAAAGAAAGAAUUCAAAUUUAGAUCGGAGAAAAUCUAAGGUUAUCGAGUAAUCAAUCUGAUUCGUCAAUUUCGAGUAAGAGGUAAGUUCAUAUGUGGUAAUUUUAUUAUAAAUACAUGGUAAAUGCUUUGAUAUUGCAUAAAACAUGAUUAUGAGACUAUGGGUAGUGUUGAAUAGUAAAAACAACCCCAUGAAUGCAUUUGAUGUAAGAAACAAGAGGUGUGAAAGCUCGGUUAAACCGUAGGAAUAGAAUUGGAUAAUUGAGAAAUGUUAUAGGUUGAUACACUGAUUUGGCUUCGAGCCAUGCAUAAUGGAUAAGUUGGCUUCGGGCUACAAUAUUGGGACCUCAGGUGUAAAUAAUACCUUGAUUUGGCUACGGGCCAUGGUAUAGGUAGUCCGAGAUAUGUUACCUUGAUUUGGCUACGGGCCAUGGUAUACGUACUUUCAAUUGAGAUCUUGAGUAUCCAACUUCUAUUCCAAAUGGUUCAACGGGUAAUGAAUGAUGUAAUUGAGAAAGAGGUUAGUAUGAGGUGGUACAGGUACGUACGAAACCUAUUCGAAUAUUACAUUGAGAAAGUUCAAUGAGAUUAUUAUUUUGGAUCAUGUUUUGAGACAUAACAAAGGUUUGUAGUUAAUGUGAUUUUGAUUUGGUAAUAUGAAAAUGGUCGUAUUACAUUUGUUUGAUGAAUUGAGCUAAUCACUUAUGAGCUUACUAAGCUAUGAAGCUUAUUGUGUUAUUUGUUUAUGUUCUAUAGAUUAUCAAAGCUAGCUUGGACUCGGGGAUCGUCGGGAAAUGUCAUCACACUAUCGACCAUUUUGUUGGUACUUUUGAAGCCUUGUAUAUAUGGUAUAUGGCAUGUAUAGGCUAGUGUCAUUAUGGUACAUUUUGUGUUAUGAAAUUAUAGCCAUGUGAUUUGGCUUGUAUUUAGUAAAGUUGUGGGAUGUGAAUUUUACUUAUUGAAUGUGUUUAUUUAUGCUAUGUAAUGUGAAUGGUAUGCCUUGUGAAUUUGGCCUAGUAUGGUAUGUUUUGAAUAUGAAAUUUAGUUGUUGAAAUGGUUGAAGAUAGUUGGUAUGAAUUGUGUAUGAAUUGGCAUGUUUUGGUUGCCUAUAAAUGUAAUGAAAUGGUACCAUUUUUGUUGUAAGGUGUGCAUGAGAAAAGGGUGGCAAAUUGGCUUGGCAAUGGCUUAUUUUUGUCCACACUGGCAGAGACACGGGCUUGUGUCUCAGCCGUGUACGACACACGGUCAUGUUACAUGGCCAUGUGUCCCCUAGGGUACCCUUUCGAAUUAAGUCAGUAUACCCUACAGGUUUGGCACGACCAAGAAACAAGGAUGUGUUUACUGGCUGUAUGUGGCACACAGGCUGGCACAUGGGCGUGUGGCCGGCUUUGUGACACAAGCCAGUAACCCCUCCAGUUUUCCCAUGGCCAUAGCACACGGGCGUGUCCUCGGCCGUGUGGUGCAAGUCAGUAUGUAUGCCCUAUUUUCACACGGCCUGUGACACGGGCAUGUUUGGUGACCGUGUAAGGCACACAGCCUGUUCACACGGGCGUGUGACCCUUAAAUGCAAGAAAAUUUUCUAUGUUUCCCAAAAUUUGCUAAUGUUAUCAGUUUAGUCCCAAACCUCUUUUAAGCAAGUUUUCAGGUCUUGUAGGGCCUUAUGAGGGACAAUGUGAAUGUGUUGAAUGAAAUUUGAUUAUGAAUGCAUAUAUGUAUGAUUUAUGUUGCGAUGGAUUGGUAAUGCCUCGUAACCCUAUUCCGACUAUGGAUACAAGUUAGGGGUGUUAUAUUUAAUUGGUAUCAAAGCUACAGCUUAGUCGAUUCUAGGACUAACAUAGUGUGAGAGUCUAGUUAUACAUGUCAUAUAUAUAAAAUGCAAUGGAGUGAUGAUUCUUGACAGUUAAAAUGUGUUUCUUUUAUAAAGUAAAUAGAUCCCGAAAAAGCCGUAGCUGACGAUGUAGAGAGUAAUGCGCUCACUUCCGCUCAAGGGCAGGGUCGAAUGAUUCUAGGCCGAUUACUAGUAGUCAUAAAAGCCUUCUUUCAGAUAAUGAAUGAGUGGCUUAUGAAAUUCAUUCGAACGAAUCCGGCUGCUCAACAACCUCCACCCCCACUUGUUCCUCAACAAGUCUCAGUUGUGCCAUAAGUGAUAGAUCCAAUGUGAAUGUGUUGAAUGAAAUUUUAUUAUGAAUGCAUAUAUGUAUGAUUUAUGUUGUGAUGGAUUGGUAAUGCCUCGUAAUUCUAUUUCGGUUAUGGAUACGGGUUAGGGGUGUUACAGUUCAAGCUAUAAUGUCCUCAACAUAUGAAAGAGUAAAAUUAGUACAGGAAAAUUAUGUAUCCAUUGAAUUCAAUUAUUCAAACAAAAUUUAACAUCUUUCGAAUAUAAUCAGAUAUGUGAUUAUUUCAUAUAUUUAUAACAUUUAUAUAAUUCAUGUAAUCAAAUACCACAUUCAAAUCAAACAUAAAAUUAAACACAAUUUAGUUACAAGAACUUACCUCAACACUUGUUCAUAUUUAAAAGUCCACUUGUAACAACCCGAAUUAGACCCUAAUCGGAACUGUGGUUUUGAGACCACAAAUUUGAGUCAGAAAAAUAUUUAAAAAUUAUUUUCUGUGUUUAUUUUGUGUGAAUUUAUAUCUUUGAAAUUUUUGUGAUUUAAUUUUGUCGUUUAGGUGUCCAAUUAAAUAAAAGGGCUUAAUCGCUUAAAUUGAAAAUUUGAUAGUUUAAAACAUAAGGGCCAAAUUGUUAGUGGCUUUUUAAAUUGGAUCAUUUAUGUUGAAAAUAAACCAUGAAUGUGUGAUAUGGACGGUAGUGUCCUUGUUAUUAAUGGUUUUAUAAUUUUAUUUUAAAGGUUAAAUAAGUAAAUUAAGUAAUAAAAGGUUUAUAAUAAAAUAUUAGAUUAAAAUAAGCCAUCAUAUUAUUAUUAUGUUCAUCCAUCGAAAUGAGAAACAAAAGAAAAGAAAAGGAAGCUAGGUAUUCGGCCAUUGUUGAGCUUGAUUUAAGGUAAGUUCUAGCUUGGAUUUUGAUAAUUUUUACGUUUUUGAUAUCGUUGCUUCGAGUACUACAAAACCCAUGCUUGAAUUUUUUAUUUUGAUGAAUAUUUUGAGUUAUGUCAUUGUUGAGAGCUUGUGAUUUUUGUUGUUUGAUGAUGAAAUAUGAAAGAUAUGUUUUAGAUUAACAUGUUUUGUAUUGGAUUUUUUGAUGAUUUUGAGUAAUUAAGGCUAAAUUGCAAAAAUAAUAAUUGGAGGGACUAAAAUGUGAAAUAAGUAAAAUAUAUGGACUUGUAUGAAUACUAGGAAUAUUCGGCCAAACAUGGGUAUAUUGAAAUUUUGCAUAUUUUGUGUUUUGUACAAAAUGGACUAAAUUGUAAAAAGUGUAAAUGUCAGGGGUAAAAUGGUAAUUUUCCCAUUUAUGUUUUUUUUGGACUAAAUUGAAUGAAAAUAUAUUUAAAUGAGCUUAAUUUGAAUAUGUUUAGAUCAAGAACCAAAGAAACUAGAUUUGGAUCGGGGAAAAACGAAAGUCGUCGACUAGCUUUCCCGUUCUGUUUUACAUCGUCUGAGGUAAGUUUAUAAAGGGGAUAGAUGUGGUUUAUUUCAAUAUAUGUGGUCAAUAUAUUGUUAUAAUGGUUAGAAGUAAAUUGUGAAUCGGCUUUGAGUAAUGAAAAUGAUUUAUGUCUGAUGAUUAAGUAAUGAAUAAGUUUAGUAAUUAAAGUGAUGAUAUGAGCUAUAUAUGUUAAAAUGUUAAUUAUUUAUAUAAUAAUUACAAGUUAAUAUUCGUCUAAAUGAAGUAUAUAUAUGUGAUAUUAAAGUGUAAAUCAUGAUAAAUAUAUACAUAUAUGAAUUCGAAUAUAUGAUCAUGUUCUGACAUUGGUAGUAAAUAAUAACUUUGUUAAUGAAUAUAUGUAUAUUUUGGUCAAUUUCAAGUUGGCACCUGGAAGUAUAUGUGACUCCGAUAUAUGUGUGCGAGUAAGUCCACGUUUCAUAUGUUGGCAUCGAUAUGUGACUUCAAUAUAUGUGUGCAAGUAAGUUCACGUUUCAUACGUUGGCAUCGAUAUGUGACUCUGAUAUACGUGUGGGAGUAAGACCACGUUUCAUAUGUUGGCAUCGAUAUGUGACUCUGAUAUAUGUGUGCGAGUAAGACCACAUUUUAUACGUUGGCAUUGAUAUGUGAUUCUGAUAUGUGUUUACGAGUAAGACCCUGUCUCGGACAGUGGCAUUGAUAUGUGAUUACAUGUAAGCAUUAGACGAUAUUUGUGGCUAUCUGAGUAUCCUAUCCAAUUCUGAAUUGUUCAACGGGUAAUGAUAGUUAUGAUUGAAUGAAUAAAAUGAGCUAAAGUAAUAAGGUAUGUGAUAGUUUAUUUCUUAUUUGAAAUAAGGUAAGAAAGUUACUCGACAUGUGUUUUAAAUUAUGUAUAAUGUAAAUGGAAAUUGUAUGUGCAUAUUGAAAAUGUAUUUGGCCUUUUAGUUUAUAUCAUGUGACUAUUUAUGAAAUGGUUCAUGGAUAAAUAUGUAUGUGGGUUUAUGUAUAUUCGGCUAUUUAAUGGUACUAAGGUUUUGGAAUUUAAUUUUACCUUAAUAAUAGACAUAUGUAGAUGUUCGGCUAAGGCAAAAUUUGUAUAUGGAAUUAUAUGUUGUAUAUGAAAUUGUGAUCUUGAAAAUAAAUGUGAUUAAGUUGGCCUAAUUUAUUUUGGUUAAGUUGAGUUGUUACUAAUAUUAAGUUAUUUAUUUGUUUAUGACUUACUAAGCUAUGAUAGCUUAUUGCGUGUAUUUGUUCGUUGUUUAUAGAUUUUGGAAGUUGGUUACGAGCUCGGUGGUCGUCAGCAAGGUCUAUCACACAAUCGACCGAUUUCGGUAUUUUAUAAGCUAAAAUUUGGAUCUAUGGCAUGUAUAGGCCAGAUAAUAUUUUGGAAGCAUUGGAUUUUUGUUUGUAUAUAUAAAAGCCAUGUGAAAAUGGCUUGUUUAUUCAUGUUAAGUUUGGUUUAAGUCUAAUUAUGCUAUGGAUAUGUUUCGUUGGUAAUUUCGAAUGUGUGGUAUUUAGUAACAGGGUUCGGCUGGGUUAUUAGGUUAGUUCCUGAUUUAUUAUUUUGACUAAAGAUAAAUAUAUAUUAUGGUAAGUAUAAUCUAUGACACGUUUGAGUAGUGUUUUGAUUAUAUGAUUUAGUCGAGUAUUGAUACGUAUAAUUUAUAAAUUAGUCAUGCCAAUUUAUAUAUUUAAUACAUAGCAUGUAAGUGGUAACAUUUUAUCAUAUGAUUCGGCAAUGAAGAAUGUCUAAUAUGAUGUGUAUAUAUAAUUGCUUAUUCAGUAACGUAUUAGCUUAUUACAAAGUAUAUGAAAUUUGUAUGAAUUUCUUGUGGUUCACUUUACUAUUUGAGUUGACAAGAAAUAAGUGGUGUUGUGUUAAAAUUUUGGUAUAAUGCAUAUUAUGUGUAACCAAUAUUAUGGGAUUCGGCAUUUGUAUAUAUAAAUUAGGAGGAAUUGAUUUGAUUUCAUAAUUAUAUUAUAAACAUGUCGUAAUGAUUAUGUGAUUAGUUAUUAAGUGGACUAAAUGCAUGAUUAUAUCCUAGUGGUAAUAAGUUUAGUGGAUGAAUGGUAUUUGUGAUAUGUGUUUUGUGCAUUGAGGUUGAUUGAUGAAUUUAAAAGUGGUAUGAGUGAUUCGGCAAUGAUAUGUAUAUAUUAACAUGAAUUAUGUUUUUUAUUUCACCUUUGGUUAAAUUGAUUUGAUUAUGUUUUAUAUGUGUUAGUAAUGGUUUAAAAUUUAGUUAAAGGUACAUUGGAAUAUAUGUCGAAAUGAGUUAAGGAAUAUAUUUGAAAAUUGACGAAUAUGUACAAACGAAUUAUGUUAGCCAAAUAGAUAAGAAAAGUGAAAUGAAUUUUAUAUAUAACCUUUGGAAAUGUUGGUUUUGCUUAUGAGUUUGAGUUAUUAAUUUGUACAGAUAUGAUAUGAAUUAUUUGAGUGUUAUAAUACUGGUUAAUUAAAUAAGGUGCUUGUUUGAUCCAUAGUUACAAUUUCGAAUACCAUAAUUAUUAAAUAACCAUAUGAGUCAAUUGUUAAUAAUCAUGGAUUAUGCACAAAUUGUUGUUAGUAUAUGCAUGAGCAAUAGCUAUAAGAUUGUUUUGAUACUCAGAUAAUAAAUGAAUUGGUUGAUAUAUGCUCGGUAUAUGAUAUGUAUUUCUAAUAAUUAAAAAAAAUCUGAAGUCAUUAAUAAGAUGAGAGUAUUCAUGUGAUCGAUUUACGUAGUAUAAAUUGUUUAAUUAUCGGUUUGAGUUAUGUUUCGAUCGGUAAUGCUUUGUAACCCUAAUCUGGCGACGGAUUUGGGUUAGGGGUGUUACAAUUUAUUGGUAUCAGAGCUAUGGUUUAGUAGAUUCUAAGACUACUAUAAUGUAUGAGAGUCGAGCUGUACAUGCCAUAUUUAACCUGAGAUAGUGUGAUAUAUCCUGACUCUGAUAAAAAUUGUUUUCAUGAGACAGAUAAGUUUUCAACCAAGCUAAUUUUGAUAAGUACGGAAUGUGUACUCGAAUGUUUGAAUGGGAAUGUGUUGAUGAUGAGUUGUUACUCAUAAAGGUAUGGAUCAAAAAGUAUGAUAUAUUGAUGUUGCCAAAUGUUAUAAUUAUAUGAGCAUAUAGAUAAUGAUAUUUAAGUUGCGAUUGCUAUCUGAAAUGUUUUUAUUAUGAAUUGGUGAUUUGAGUUGGUAUAUGAAUUAAGUACUAAGAAAAAAAGUGAUUAAAAGCAAAUGUUUAUUACAUGUUUGGACAAUGUGAAAUUAUUAAUGAAUUAACUAUUUGUGAAAGUAUGUGUUACGUGUAUUUAUGUGUAAGUUAAAUUUGAAGCUUUAUUACCAUCACCCCUUUAUUAGUAAAAUGUUAUUGUGAAAUCUGUAAGAUUUUGGUUGAAUAAGUUCAUGAGUGUGGAAUUAGAGAAGUUCGUGUUCGGAAGAUUAAUAAUGAGGUCAGAAAAGUGAAUAAAUCAGCAAAUAAAGGCAGUAUUAAAAGAAAUAUUAAAUAGUUUCGAAAACUAUUCAGAUUGUGUAAAAUCACUGUUACAGAAGAAGUUAACUACGAAUGACCUAUUCAGGUAUGUUAUCUAAAGAAAGUAUUAAUUAGAAGCAUUUCUGGAUUGAUUUCUGUUAUUGAUGGGAUCAUAUGAACUUGAUAAUGACAGAAUUAGACAGUUGAAUAAUAUUUGAAUUGUAUUAAUGGUUGAGUGCACUGGUUAUAGUCGGGCAGUUACUAUGACUUCUUCUGAGUACUCUACGUGUACAUUUAUCUUUAGAAAUAUAUCAAACUGUUUAAUUUCGGAAGGAAUUCUUACCGUAUGAGAACAUUACCUAAAUAUGUUUAUAGACAAAAGCAUUGUUGGUCUGUUUGGAUUAUGUUCGACAUUGCUCUGUCUCUCUUUGAUAUUUAUUCCAUUGUGUGGAUAUUAAAAUUGACGGUAAAAUAUUUAUAAUGCUAAUAACUUGUUUCUACUGGAUAUUGUUAUGUUGAAAAUACGUAAAGAUUAUAUUAUUUUCGUUAUUGUGGAUUUCAGUAAUUAUGAGCGACAUUAUUCUUUCUGGACCAUUUCUAGGAUAUCAUUGGAGUUGAUAUCAUUCUAUAUGGGUUGUAAUUCUUAUAUAUUUUGUGUAACAUCAGAUUAUUCAAAUUUCACUAUUUUGAUUUCUUAUGAUACCAUGUAAUUAUCCGCAUGAGAUUUCUAGCUGACAGAAAUGGCUAUAUCUAUUAUAAUCAUAAUAUAUGUUUGAAAUUUGGGAAUACUGCAGUACCAUUAUCAGAAUUAUAAAGUUGUGCUUUGGUGUUGGUUGCUGAUCAAGUCACAUCUGAUUUUCUUUUGGUUUCAGGUACUUUAUUAACAGUUGGGACAUUAUCUAUUGUUACGGGUAAGACGUCAGUCUUAUUAUGACAUUAUGAUUUCUAUUUGAUGAUUUAGUUUCUGUAUAAUAAUAUGUCUGGGUUAUCUUUUUUAAUGAGAAGAAAAGAUCUCUCUGAAAGACUGAUUCAGUGGUUUAGUCUGCUUUGAAUUAUUUGAUUGAAAAGUUAAUUGGGUUAUAUGUGUUUGAAUCUACACAUUGGGCCUGAAAUAAACUUUGAAUGCACAUGUGUGAAUUGAGGAAUAAUCUGGAAAAAGAAUCCAUAUUCUUGAAGACUUGAUGCAGAGUUAUAACUAUUGGAACAAUUCUAUCUUAAAAAUGUUGUGGUAAAUUAAAGUUAUUUUAACUAUUGAAGCUUUUCUUUUUGCAUGAAGAUAUUGUUAACCAAAAUAUCAAUACGGGUUCAGUUUAAUUAGAAGAAAAUGUUUAUAAUCUUCAGUCAUGCGUCCAUGAACAGAUGGAAGUGUGUUCUAAUAUUAGAGUAUAUAGAGAUAUCUUGUGAUUACAUACAGUCAGAGCUGCACAUAAAAAAAAUGUUAGUUAACUGACAUAUUUGAUGGUUUGAUUAUAGCAGAGGUAAAAGCAAGACCGUUAUCUGUUCAACAGAUUUACGAUUCCCGGAAGAUUGAUAAUGAAUUGAUAGAAAAAGGAGCUCAGUGUUAUGUAGAUGCUCAUUCAGAAUUUAAAGUUGAUUCUGAGGAUAUGCUGAGAUGUUGCAUUUUUGAGUGCAAAGGUCGUACACCAUUGUAUUGGACUGAGUUCAGUGAAAAUAAGAUACACAGGGUCGAUUUGAUCAGAGAAACUGAAUAGAAAGUGAAAGUGAUCCGUGAAAGUUUAAAAGCAGCAUCAGAUCGUCAGAAAUCAUAUGCAGACUUGAAACGAAAAGAUAUAUAGUUUCAGAUCGGAGAUAAAGUUUUCUUGAAAGUCUCACCAUGGGAAAAAAGUACUCAGAUUUGGUCGUAAAGGAAAAUUGAGUCAGAGGAUACAAUGAAAGAACGUUAUCCAAACCUAUUCACUGGUAAGAUUUUCGAGGACAAAAAUCUCUAAGGGGGGAAGAGUUGUAACAGCCUGAAUUAGACCCUAAUCGGAACAGUGGUUUAGGGACCAUGAAUCUGAGUCAGAAAAAUAUUUAAAAAUUAUUUUUUUUGUUUAUUUUGUGUGAAUUUAUAGCUGUGAAAUUUUCAUGAUUUAAUUUUGUCAUUUAGGUGUUUGAUUAAAUAAAAGGGCUUAAUCGCGUAAAUUAAAAUUUUGAUAGUUUAAAACAUAAGGGCCAAAUUGUUAGUGGCUUUUUAAAUUGGAUCAUUUAUGUUGAAAAUAAACCAUGAAUGUGUGAUAUGGACGGUAGUGUCCUUGUUAUUAAUGGUUUUAUAAUUUUAUUUGAAAGGUUAAAUAAGUAAAUUAAGUAAUAAAAGGUUUAUAAUAAAAUAUUAUGUAAUGCCCCAAUUUUUGGGUUUUCUGUGUUUCUGCGAUUUUUAAAAUUUGUGUGUGUUCUGGUUGGUUAAUAUAUAUAUUUUAGUAGGUUAGUGGGCCUUUGGAAGGCCCAAACUUAAGUUAAAUCUGUGGUAGUCUUCGGAAUUUUAAUUUUAUGAAUAGGUUAUGCAAUUAGCGUUUGGGAUUUUAAGAGUAAAGGGGUAAAAUAUGACACAAAAAGGAGUGUGGUGUAGUGGCAAGGUGGCGCCACUUAGGGGAAAAGGAAGUGACGCCAUAGAGGAAGCAAGGGGUCCAAGGUUCAAGUCUUGGCUCUUGCAAUAUAUUUUGGUUUUUCUUUUCAAUAAAUCUGGAAGCAAGUAUGUGCGCUUUAAAGUUUAAUGUGUUUGAUUUAUGAUACAAAUGAGUUGAUGGCCUAGUGGUGGUGCCGUGAGUUGGCAUGUGAGAGGACUUUGGUUCGAAUCCCUUGGCACGCAAAGGUUGAUUAUUUUGCUAUGUUGGGACAGCAAGAGUUGGUGUUGGUUUUAAACUCUAGUGAUGGAGGGAUCCCACAUCAGGAAGCUAACAUAAGAGUAGAUGGAGAGCUAGCUUUAAAUAGAGCAAACCAUUAGGAGAGUAGGCAUACCCUUCUUGGCUGAUCCCUUUCACUUUGUGACGUGUUCGUUUGGGUUGGGCGUCACCUAAGAGUGUUUGGAGCGCGGAUUAACUGCAGUCUCCUAACAGGUGUGUAUUUCUCAUUACUCUAGCAGUAGGACGGCUAUUUCGGGCCGCGAUGGGAUGAAAUGGGCCAUGUGGUCCCAAUAGGUCCGUAGGUCCAAGUGGAUAAGUUGUAGAAUUACCGAAAUACCUUUGUAGGGUAGAAAUACCAAAAUACCCCUGUAGGGUAGAAUUACCGAAAUACCCCUGUAGGAUAGAAUUACUAAAAUACCUGUGUAGGGUAGAAAUAUCGACAUACCCCUGUAGGGUAGAAUUACCGAGAUACCUAGGGUGUUAAAUGACUAUUUUGCCCCUCGUGCGUAAAUGACUAACUUGUGUGAUGAUUGGGUUAGUUGACGUGGAUUUAUGUUAGUUAACGUUAAUUUGUAAGUCUAAUGUGUUAGUGAUCGUUGUAGGAUUAUCGCGUGGCAGAUAUCGUCAUCAAUCGUAAUCAACCAAGUGUGUAAACGACACCCUCCCUUAGACUGAAUCGGUAAAAGCUGAAAUACCGAAACGUUGGUAUUUUGUGAACUUGCGAGCGUGCGAGCGCUUGUGACACAGUUGUUAAUGAAUCUGGUGCAUUUGGAUGAUUAGGGUGUAGAGUGUGCAUUUUCGUGCACAACAGUAUUUUUGGGCUUAAUGGGCCGAAAAUGAGCCAAUGGGCCAACGAGCCCACUUUAGUAAAAGGACAAGGUAAGUACUUCUAAUUACUUGGUAAACGUUAGAAUGAGCAUGAAACCUUAGCAAUAGGUAAUAAUUAUUGAAAUACCCUUAUGCAUGCAAAAUUACGAUUUUACCCCCAGGGUUAUUUUUUUCUGAAAAGCAUGAUGUUUUGUUUCUGUAUACGUAUUCCAUGACAUAUUAUUUCUGUUGCAUGAGACAUGGGUUUAUAUUGAUGGAGGAAGUGUUCUGGCAGCCUCGCUGCAAUCUGGUGGCCUCGCCACAUAUAUCUGUUCUGGUGACUUCGUCACAAUAUUUGGCAGCCUCGCUGCAAUCUGGUGGCUUCGCCACACAUAUAUAUAUCUGUUCUGGUGGAAUCCACAAUAUCUGUAUCUAGUGACUUCGUCACUAUAUCUGGCAGCCUCGUUACAAUUUCUAUGGUGUGUAGCGGUUCGGUGGGUCGAGUAGUCUCCCCACAUGGUGUAAGGCUGGUACGAGGGUGUUAUGGAUGGCUCUAGGUUGGUAUUUCUACAUUCAUGAUAUAUUUGUUUUGUAUCUGCUAUGGGCCUAUGGGUUUCAUUCUGCUUUCUGUACUAGGCCAAGGCCCAGAUAAGUCUAACUCUGAGGUUUGAUCUGUUUUGGGCUAUGGUUGGGUUAUGUUACACACGAAGUUUACCGGACUCACCCUUUAUUUUCAUCUCUGCAGGAAAUCCCCAACCAUAGUGGGCUUGGAGCUGUGAGGGAUUCGGAGUGGCCACAUCAUCUGCAAAGUUGGUUUUUAUAAGUUAGUUUAUUUUUAUUAUUUUAUAUUCUGAUUUAAUUUUGGGUUUUAAGUUGUAAUAAGGCUGCUAUUUAAAUUUCUUUUUCCGCUAUGGUUUUUUUCUGAUUAUAUUUAUACUAUGUCGAAACUGCUAGUGUUAGGCUGCGCGGGUUUUCAAAAUUAAUGAACGUUUUCCAAGACUCAACAAGCACAACAAAUGGAUAGCAUAAAGAUUGAUAAACCGACUUUUCAUUCAAUCGCUAUUUUUACAAAGACCACCCCAAUCACUUAAACCAACAAAUGCAUACUAAGUCGUAAGUCCAUGGACACGUCAGAUCUGGUAAUAACGUCUGGGCCGGGUUUGGGGUGUUACAUAUUAGAUUAAAAUAAGCCAUCAUAUCAUUAUUAUGUUCAUCCACCGAAAUGAGAAACAAAAGAAAAGAAAAGGAAGCUAGGUAUUCAGCCAUUGUUGAGCUUGAUUUAAGGUAAGUUCUAGCUCGGUUUUUGAUAAUUUUUACGUUUUUGAGAUCGUUGCUUCGAGUACUACAAAACCCAUGCUUGAAUUUUUUAUUUUGAUAAAUAUUUUGAGUUAUGCCAUUGUUGAGAGCUUGUGAUUUUUGUUGUUUGAUGAUGAAAUAUGAAAGAUAUGUUUUAGAUUAACAUGUUUUGUAUUGGAUUUUCUGAUGAUUUUGAGUAAUUAGGGCUAAAUUGAAAAUACAAUAAUUGGAGGGACUAAAAUGUGAAAUAAAUGAAAUAUAUGGACUCAUAUGAAUACUAGGAAUAUUUGGCCAAACAUGGGUAUAUUGAAAUUUUGCAUAUUUUGUGUUUUGUGCAAAAGGGACUAAAUUGUAAAAAGUGUAAAUGUCAGUGGUAAAAUGGUAAUUUUCCCAUUUAUGUGUUCUGAACUAAAUUGAAUGAUAAUAUAUUUAAAUGAGCUUAAUUUGAAUAUGUGGUUUUUUUCAAUAUAUGUGGUCAAUAUAUAGUUAUAAUGGUUAGAAGUAAAUUGUGAAUCGACUUUGAGUAAUGAAAAUGAUUUAUGUCUGAUGAUUAAGUAUCGAAUAAGUUUAGUAAUUAAAGUGAUAAUAUGAGCUAUAUAUGUGAAAAUGUUGAUUAUUUUUAUAAUAAUGGCAAGUUAAUAUUCGGCUAAAUGAAGUAUAUGCAUGUGAUAUUAAAGUGUAAAUCAUGAUAAAUAUAUACAUAUAUGAAUUCGAAUAUAUGAUGAUGUUGUGCCAUUGGUAGUAAAUAAUAACUUUGUUAAUGAAUAUAUGUAUAUUUUGGUCAUUUAAAAAGUUGGCACUUGGAAGUAUAUGUGACUCCGAUAUAUGUGUGCGAGUAAGUCAACGUUUCAUACGUUGGCAUCGAUAUGUUACUCUGAUAUAUGUGUGUGAGUAAGUCCACGUUUCAUACGUUGGCAUCGAUAUGUGACUCUGAUAUAUGUGUGCGAGUAAGACCACAUCCACGGUUCAUACGUUGGCAUCGAUAUGUGACUCUGAUAUAUGUGUGCGAGUAAGACCACGUUUCAUAUGUUGGCAUCGAUAUGUGACUCUGAUAUAUGUGUGUGAGUAAGACCACGUUUUGUACGUUGGCAUCAAAAUGUGAUUCCGAUAUGUGUUUAUGAGUAAGACCUUGUUUGGGGCAGUGGCAUUGAUAUGUGAUUACAUGUAAGACCACGUUUGGGACGUUGGCAUUGUACGAUAUUUGUGGCUAUCCAAGUAUCCUAUCCAAUUCCGAAUGGCUGAAUGGGCAAUGAUAGUUAUGAUUGAAUGAAUAAAAUGAGCUAAAGUACUUUGGUAUGUGAUAGUUUAUUUCUUAUUUGAAAUAAGGUAAAAAAGUUAUUUGAUAUGUGUUUUAAAUUAUGUAUAAUGUAAAUGGAAAUUGUAUGUGCAUAUUGAAAAUGUAUUUGGCCUUUUAGUUUAUAUCAUGUGACUAUUUAUGAAAUGGUUCAUGGAUAAAUAUGUAUGUGGGUUUAUGUAUAUUCGGCUAUUUAAUGGUACUAAGGUUUUGAAAUUGAAUUUUACCUUGAUAAUAGACAUAUGUAUAUGUUCAGCUAAGGUAAAUUUGUAUAUGGAAUUAUAUGUUGUAUAUGAAAUUGUGAUCUUGAAAAUAAAUGUGAUUAAGUUGGCCUAAUUUAUUUUGGUUAAGUUGAGUUGUUACUGAUAUUAAGUUAUUUAUUUGUUUAUGAUUUACUAAGCUAUGAUAGCUUAUUGUGUGUAUUUGUUCGCUGUUUAUAGAUUUUGGAAGUUGGUUACGAGCUCAGGGGUCGUCAGCAAGGUCUAUCACACUAUCAACCGAUUUUGGUAUUUUAUAAGCUAAAAUUUGGAUCUAUGGCAUGUAUAGGCUAGAUAAUAUUUUGGAAGCAUUGGAUUUUUUUUUUGUAUAUAUAAAAGCCAUGUGAAAAUGGCUUGUUUAUUCAUGUUAAGUUUGGUUUAAGUCUGAUUAUGCUAUGGAUAUGUUUCGUUGGUAAUUUCGAAUGUGUGGUAUUUAGUAACAGGGUUCGGCUGGUUAUUAGGUCAGUUGCUGAUUUAUUAUUUUGACUAAAGAUAAAUAUAUAUUAUGGUAAAUAUAAUCUAUGACUCGCUUGAGUAGUGUUUUGAUUAUAUGAUUUAGUCGAGUAUUGAUAUAUAUAAUUUACAAAUUUGUCAUGCCAAUAUAUAUAUUUAAUACAUAGCAUGUAAGUGGCAAUGUUUGAUUAUAUGAUUCGGCAAUGAGGAAGGUCUAAUAUGAUGUAUAUAUAUAAUUGCUUAUUAAGUAACGCAUUGGCUUAUUACAAAGUAUACGAAAUUUGUAUGAAUUUAUUAUGGUUCACUUUACUAUUUGAGUUGACAAGAAAUAAGUGGUUUUGUGUUAAAAUUUUGGUAUAAUGCUUAAUAUGUGUAACCAACAUUAUGGGAUUCGGCAUUUGUGUAUAUAAAUUAGGAGGAAUUGAUUUGAUUUCAUAAUUAUAUUAUAACCAUGUCGUAAUGAUUAUGUGAUUAGUUAUUAAGUGGACUAUGAUUAUAUCCGAGUGGUAAUAAGUUUAGUGUAUGAAUGGUAUUUGUGAUAUGUGUUUUGUGCAUUGAGGUUGAUUGAUGAAUUUAAAAGUGGUAUGAGUGAUUCGGCUAUGAUAUGUAUAUAUAAAUAUGAAUUAUGUUUGUUAUGUUACCUUUGGUUAAAGUGAUUUGAUUAUGUUUUAUAUUUGUUAGUAAUGGUUUAAAAUUUAGUUAAAGGUACAUUUGAAUAAAUGUCGAAAUGAGUUAAGGAAUAUAUUUGAAAAUUGACGAAUAUGUACAAACAAAUUAUGUUAGCCGAAUAGAUAAGAAAAAUGAAAUGAAUUUUAUAUAUAACCUUUGGAAAUGUUGGUUUUGCUUAUGAGUUUGAGUUAUUAAUUUGUAUAGAUAUGAUAUGAAUUUUUUGAGUGUAAUAAUACUGAUUAAUUAAAUAAGGUACUUGUUUGAUCCGUAGUUAAAAUUUCGAAUACCGUAAUUAUUAAAUAACCAUAAGAGUCAAUUGUUAAUAAUCAUGGAGUAUGCACAAAUUGUUGUUAGUAUAUGCAUGAGCAAUAGCUAUAAAAUUGUUUUGAUACUCAGAUAAUAAGUGAAUUGGUUGAUAUAUACUUGGUAUAUGAUAUGUAUUUCUAAUAAUUAAAAAAAUCUGAAGUCAUUAAUAAGAUGAGAGUAUUCAUGUGAUCGAUUUACGUAGUAUAAAUUUUUUAAUUGUCGGUUUGAGUUGUGUUUCAUUCAGUAAUGUUUCGUAACCUUAAUCUGGCGACGGAUUCGAGUUAGGGGGUGUUACACUACUAAUACGUCACCUUUUCUUUUCCUCGACCUAACUCUUUAUUUGACCUUUUCGGAUCUCUAUAAAUGAAUUUAACAUCAAUUUAAUUCAUUUCAUACUCAUUUACAUUCAAUUCACACCCUAGGCAAAAUUACCAUUUUGUUUGUCCCUAUACUUUUCAUAUAUGACAAUUUCGUCUCUAGGCUCAAAAAAUAAAUUUCAUGCAAUUUAAUCCUAUUCCAAGCCCAACUGAAAUUUUCAUAAAACAUUUACAACACAUGUAUUUCACAAAAUUUAGAAAUUUUCCAUAACUUUUACAUAUUUACAAUUUAAUCCCUAAAUCAUAAUUUAAUCAAAAUUCACUUUGUAAAAGUUGUUUAUCUACCAACAACCUUUCAUUUUCUACCAUAAAAUUCAAAAUUUCAGCAUUUACAUCCAUGGCAAAACUUUGUUACUUUGAUAACUUUUCAAAUUAAUCCCAAAAAUUGAUGGAUUAGGCUAUCUCGAUCUAAAAAAUAUAAAAAUUACUAAAAAUGGGACAAGGAUACUUACUCAAUUAAGCCAAGAAAGCUUGCUUGAACACUUUUGUCUUUCCUACGAUUUCCAUGUCUUAAUUUGAGGAAGAUGAUAUAAAAUGAUGAUAUUUUUCUAUUAUCAUUUUUUAAUUAUUUUAGUUUUCCAAUUUAGUCCUUAUCCUUUUUUAAUUUUUCCAAUGGAUGAUUCAUCAAAAAUAUCUACUAAGUUUUUUUUAAUGGUGUAAUUAUCAUAUAAGGACCUCAAGUUUUGAAUUCCAUAGCCAUUUGAUAAUUAUAGCUGCUAGAACUCAACUAUUGCAUUCUAUGCAAUUUGGUACUUUCCGUAAUUAAACACAUAAUUGGUAAAAUUUUCUUAUCAGAAUUUUCAUAUAACAUUCCUAUCGUAAUAUGGACCAUGCAUUAAUAUUCAAAUAAAUUUUCUUUCUGGCCCAGAUUUGUGAUCCUGAAACCAUUGUUCCGAUUUCACUGAAAAUGGGUUGUUACAAUUCUCCCCCAUUUAAGAAUUUUUGUCCUUGAAAAUCUUACCAGUAAAGAGAUUUGGAUAUUGCUUUCUCAUAGUAUCCUUCGAUUCCUAGGUAGCUUCUAUUCCUUGUCACUGCCAAAGAAUCUUUACCAAAGCUACCUUUUUAUUUCUUAACUCUUUUGCCUCACGUGACAAGAUUUUGAUUGGUUCCUCACAGUAUGCCAUGUCAGGUUGAAUCUCAACUUCUGUCGGAGAAAUAAUAUGUGAAGGAUCCGACCAAUAUCGUCGCAACAUAGACACAUGAAAAACAUCAUAAAUUCUGUCAAGUUCUAGUGGUAAUGCUAACCGAUAUACAGUAGGUGAGAUUGUUUCAAUAAUUCCAUAUGGCCCGAUAAAUCGUGGACUCAAUUUUCCUUUUUGGCCAAACCGGAGAAUUUAAGAUUACCUUAUCAAUGAACUGAAAUUCUAUUUCUUUUCGUUUAAGAUCGGCAUAAGACUUCUGAUGAUCAGAGGUUGCUUUCAAACUAUCCUAAAUUACCUUCGCAUUUUCUUCAGUUUCCCGGAUUAAAUAAACUCUGUGUAUCUUUUUCUCACUAAGCUCUAUCCAAUAUAAUGGAGUUCUACAUUUAUGACCAUACAGAGCCUCAUACGGUGCCAUUUUAAUGCUACACUGAUAACUGUUAUUAUAGGCAAAUUUGACUAAAGGCAGAUACUUUUCCUAGUUAUCUUCAAAUUCUAACACACAACAUUGAAGCACAUAUUCCAAAAUCUGUAUAACACGUUUGGAUUGUCCAUCAGACUGAGGAUGGAAUGCAGUGUUGAAAUGUAACUGUGUACCCAAAACUUCUUGCAACUUGCUCCAAAAUCAGUAUGUAAACUAAGGAUCUCUGUUUGAAAUAAUGGAUACCAGUACUCCAUGCAAUCUGACAAUCUCAGAAACAUAUAAUUUAGCCAACUUAUCCAAAGAGAAAUCCAUACAUACAGGAAUAAAGUGUGCAGACAUUGUAAACCAGUUGACAGUUACCCAAAUGGCAUCUUUCUUCUUCUAAGACAGGGGUAAUCCCAAUAAAAAGUCCAUGGUAAUUCUUUCUCGUUUCCAUUCCUGCAUCAUAAUAGGUUGUUGUAGCAACCUGAUUUUGGGGCUAGUCAGAAUAGUGAUUUUAGGAACACAAAUCCGACGUAAAAAAAAUUAAUUUUAUUAUAUUUUUAUGGUCUACAAUUUCACGAAAGGAUUUCGUUGAAAUUUUGUUUGAAAAUUUUUACGUUUGGGCAUUCAAUUUAGUAAAAAGGACUAAAUUGUAAAAAGUGCAAAAGUUGAUUUCUGGUGUCCAAUUGCUAUGAGAUUUUAAAUUAGAGGUCUUUAUAUGAUAAUUAGACCAUUUGUUAAGUUAGUGGACAAAAUGGACAUGGUGAGAUAAAAUUAUAAAGUUUGCCAAAACGGGCAUUUUGGUCAUUUGGUAAAUAAAAGAAUAAAAAGGGAAAAUAAAGCCAAAAUUUGUCCAUCUUCUCCAACCCUUGGCCGAAAAUUUGGAGACAUCAUAGCUAGGGUUUUCUUUAAAUUUCAAGCUUGAUUAUCAAGAAAAACGAACUUUAGACUGUAACACCCCUUACCCGUAUUCGACACCGGAAUAGGGUACGAGGCCUUAUCGAACAUAUACUCACACAAUCAUACAAAAAUGAGAUAGUAAUUUUCGUCCAAAUUUAAAAAUUUUCAUUCACAUGCACAUCAUCCCUUAUAUGGGCCCACGAGGCCCAAAACAUAUACUGGGGGUGGUUUGGGACUAAACCGGGGACUUUCGAAACUUUUACAACACUUAAAAAAUUUUAUUGUUAUGGAGGGUUACAUGCUCUGUGGGUAAGCCGUGUGGUCACAUAUGCCCAUGUGGCUUGGGACAUGCCCGUGCAACUCUUUGUUUAUGACAUCAUCAACUAAAUAGGGUCACAUAGCCAAGUCACACGCUCAUGUGCUUAGGCCUUGUGGCGAAUUAAAUUCCAAAAAUUAGGUGCAGACUUCACACGGCCAAGGCACACGCCCGUGUCCUAAGGCCGUGUCCUUCGCACGGCUGAGACACAUGGUCGUGUCUCUACCCGUGUGUUUACUACUAAACAUUCUAUUUUACCUAAUUAGAGUGCAGGGGACACACGGUCAGAUCACACGUCCAUGGGGCAAACUGUGUGUCACACACGGUGUAGACACACACCCAUGUGCCUACCCGUGUGGACAACUUUGAGGCUAUUUUCCAAGCCUUUUGUCACCGUCAAUAACACAUGCACACUUACACAUCUCAAUGGCACCCUAUAUGGCAUAAAUGAGCACUUAUACAUUCAUAAACAAGGCUCAUGCAUAUCAACUUCUUAUCAAUUUAUACUUGCUUAAGACUUCAUAUUUUAUUUAGACUGAGCUUACCAAAUCACAUGCAAUAUGAAACAUCAACUUACUUCCAUUUCAUACAUUCAUGACUUAGUUGUUAUUAUGUCAUUUACUCACAUUUCCAUCAUCAAUCAUCCAUGAUCAUGUCCACAAUUCAUCCAUAUUAAAUAAAUUUAACCAUUUCAUGAGUGACCUUAGCACAUGCAUGCAUAUAUGAAUAGGAUUACAUCCCCAUAAUUAUUAUGGGUCGUAUCUCAUGGCCAUAUACAAAAUGAAUCAUCAAAUCAUUAUAAGCCAACACAUUUGGCUAAACCAAUAUGACAUAUAACAAAAGACCAAGUCCCUAUACAUGUCAUACUCAAAAUACUUGAAUUCACUAUACCCAAAAGAUUAGUUUGAUAGUGUGAAUCGAGCUCCGACAUCCUUCAAUCCCUGAGCUAGCUUGGCGAUAUUAUAAGAAAAUGAAAAAGAAAUGAGAGUAAGCAUAAUGCUUAGUAAGUUUGCAUGUAAAUAAUUAACAACAUUAACCAUGCAUUAUUAUACACAUAACAUAAUAAUAUUGAUCACAAUGUCAUCAAGUAUCAUAAGUACAUUUUAAGUCAUGUCAUUUACAUAUUGCACAAUAAAACUCAUGAUCAUAAUUCAUUCAUACUCUUCUUAAUGAGGUCUCAUCGAUUCAUAAUCUCAAUAUUUAUGAGCUUGUGUACAUACUAGUACCCUUUCAACAUGAUCAUACCUUGUCAUCUCUUUGACAUAAUCGUUGGAUUUCCCGUUGAACCACUUGGAAUACUAAAGGAUACUCGGGAUCUCUCAUGCCCAUAGUAAGAUGCCAAUGCCAUAUCCUAGAUAUGGUCUUACAUUGGAUCAUAGAUUGAAGCUGACAGCUCAGCUAUUUUCUUACACGAUGUCCCAUAUCGAUGCCAAUGCCAUAUCACAGAUAUGGUCUUACAUGGGAUCCCAUAUCGAUGCCAAUGCCAUGUCCCAAACAUGGUCUUACAUGGGAUCACAUAUCAAUGCCAAUGCGAUGUCCCAGACAUGGUCUUAUAUGGGAUCACAUAUCGAUGCUAAUGCCAUGUCCUAGUCAUGGUCUUACAUGGGAUCACACAUAAUCUUAAUGACAUGACAUUUGUAUCCUAACUAUUCCUAAGGUUCAACCAGGGUUUCGAGAUAUCAAACUUUGUCGAAUCGUCAUUGAGUCAUCUUUAAUUAAAUCCACAAAGAAAAUUACACAAUUCAUGCAAUAUUAAGGCAUUAAAAACAUAAUAAUGUAAUGUUGCAUUAUUUACACAAACUUACCUCGGUACCAAAAUAUGACUAACUAUUUAAUUUAGUCCACAACCUUGUUCUUUCCUUGGUUUAGGUCUGGACUCCGUUUUUCUUGAUCUAUAAUAGUAAACAUCAAUUAUUUAAUUAUCAUAUUGUUCAAAUCAUUCCAUAAAUCAUACUUUGGAAAAAUUUCAAUUUUGCCCCUAAACUUUCACAUAAUUACAAAUUAGCCCAUAGGCUCGUAAAAUGAAAUGUGUUCAUUUUCUUUGUUACCCAAGCCUAGCUGAACUUAUAAUAUGCCCAUAGCAGCUCACAUUUCUCAUUAAAUCAUACAUCUUACUACUCAUUUUACAAACUUUACUAAUAAGUUCUUUUUAGCCAUUUUCACUAGAAAUAACUUAGUAAAAGAUGUUUAUCACACAUCAAACAUUCAUAUUCUUCCAUUAAACAUCGACAUACAUGCAUGUCAUACAUGGGUCAAAUUUGAAACAUGAUCCCUACUUCAAAAUAUGGCUAGAAAUAGGUAAAUCGGGUUUUGAGGGUUUCAAAAAUGUAAAGAGCAUUAAAAACAGGGUUAGGAUACACUUACUAUUGAGCUUGAAAGUUGAACAAAACCCUAGCUAUGGCUCCUUGAGAUUUUUGGCACACAUGAAGAAGAUGGACACCAAUUUUUGACUUAUUUUCCCUUUUUAUUCUUUUAUUAACCAAAUGAAAAAAAUGUCUUUAAGGCAUUUCUUUCAAAUUUUUCCUAUUCACGCCCAUUUUUGUUCUUAAAAAUAGAAAUUGGGCAAAUUGCUAUUUAAGGACUUCUAAUUAAUAAUCCAUGGAAAUUUCAUACUUAAAGCUUCUAGAACUCACAUUUUGCAACUUUUACAAUUUAGUCCUAAAUUUCAAAUUGGACACUCUAUCAAUAAAAUUUCUUCAUGAAAUUUUCACACAAGAAUGAAAUCAUAUCAUAGACCUCAUAAGAAUCAUAAAAUAAUUAUUUCUACUUUAAAUUUUUGGUCUUAAAACCACUAUUUUGACUAGACCUUAAUUUGGGAUGUUACAACUCUCCCCCCUUAGGGAUUUUCAUCCCGAAAAUCUUACCAGUGAAGAGCUUUGGGUAUUGGUUUCUCAUGCUUUCCUCAGUCUCUCAUGUAGACUCUUCAACCCCAUGUCUUUGCCAUAAUACUUUCACAAGGGCAAUACUUUUUUUCUCAAUUAUUUGAUUUCCCGAGCCAAAAUCUGAACUGACUCUUCGUCAUAAGUCAUAUACGGUCGAAUCUCAACCUCUAUUGGUAAAAUCACAUGUGAAGGGUCUGAUCGAUAUCAGUGCAACAUAGACACAUAGAACAUCAUGAAUUCUUUCCAACUCAGAUGAAAAAGCCAACUGAUAUGCUACCGGCCCUAUCUUUUUGGUAAUCUUAUACGGUCCAAUAAAACGCGGACUCAACUUGCCCUUCUGGCCAAAUCUGAGGACUUUAUUUCAUGGAGAUACUUUUAGGAAUACCUUAUCACCGACCUAAAACUCAAUCUCUUUCCGUUUCAAAUAUAUGUAGGAUUUCUAUCUAUCCAAAGUAGAUUUUAGAUAAUCACGGAUUACCUUCACUUUCUCUUUAGUUUUUUUGACUAAAUCAACUCCGUGAAUCUGAUUUUCUUUGAGUUUGGUCCAUUACAAAGGCUUUCGAUACUUACAUCCAUACAAUGCCUUAUAAGGUGCCAUUUUCAAACUCGACUGAAAACUAUUGUUGUAGGUAAAUUCUACCAACGGUAAAUACCUUUCCCAAAUACCUUGGAACUCAACAACACAACACCAUAUCAUAUCUUCAAGAAUCUGAAUUAUCCUUUCAGAUUGACCAUCUGUUUGCGGAUGGAAAGUGGUACUUAAAUUCAAUUUUGUACCUAAUGCUUCAUAAUCGACAAAGGUACUCCGUGCAAUCUCACUAUUUCAGAAAUAUACAACUCGGCUAACUUAUCAAGUGAAUGGUCGAUACGUACUGGUAUAAAGUGAGUCGACUUUGUCAAUCAAUCUACAACAACCCAUACAACAUCUUUCUUUCUCGGUGUCAAAGGCAAACCCGUCACAGAAUCCAUAGUAAUUCGAUCCCACUUCCACUCAAAAACCAUCACACAUUGAUGUAAGCCUGAAGGUACUUGGUGUUUAGCUUUUACUUGCUAACAAAUCAGGCAUCUCGAAACGAAAUCUCUUUUCAUACUCGGCCACUAAUAUAAUUUCUUCAAAUCAUUUUAUAUUUUUGUACUACCCAGAUGUAUAGACAAACAACCACUAUGGGCCUCAUGUAAAAUCUUCUGAAUCAACUCGAUAUUCUUAGAAGUACAAAUCCUAUCUCGGAACAUUAAGCAACCAUCGAAACUAAUCCAAAAAUCUGAUUCCAUACCCGAUUCACAUUGGAUUCUUUUGGCUUGCAAAUCAUCGUCACUUUUCUAGGCCUCAUAAAUCUCUUGGAGAAACAUCAGCCUAGCUCUCAGCUCAGAAAGAAUCAAACCAUCAUCUAAAUAAGCCAACUGUAUGUUCAUAGCCCUUAAAGCAAAUAACGACUUUCUACUCAAAGCAUUGGUAACCAUAUUCGCCUUUCUUGAGUGGUAGUCAAUCACUAACUUGUAAUCUUUUAUCAACUCUAGGCAUCUCCAUUGUCAUAGGUUUUAAUCCUUUUAAGUCAUCAAGUACUUUAGACUUUUAUGGUCAGUGAAUACUCGACAUUUCUUUCCAUACAAAUGGUGUAACUAAAUCUUCAACACAAACACAAUGGCGGCUAGCUCCAAAUCAUGGGUCAGAUAGUUCUACUCAUGCAGUUUCAAUUGCCUUUAGGCAUAAGCUAUCACCUUGCCUUCUUGCAUAAGUACACAACCCAAUUCAUUGAAGGAUACGUCACUAUAAACUAAAUUUUUUCCCAGUUCAGGUUGUACAAUAACUGGUGCCUCGGUCAACCAUGCCUUUAGUUUUUCAAAACUCUGUUGGCAAUUUUUCGUCAUUCGAACUUAACAUCUUUCUGUAACAAUUUUGUUAUCGGGGUAGCAAUCAUGGAAAAUCCUUUAGCAAAUCGUCUAUAAUAACCGACUAAGCCUAGAAAGCUUCUAACCUAUGAAACAUUCCUCGACAGUUACCAUUCAACAAUAGCCGAUAUCUUACUCGAGUCAACUCUAAUACUGUCACUCGAAAUAAUGUGCCCCAAAAAUCUGAAUUUUCAAAGCCAAAAUUUGAUUUUACCAAACUUAGCAUACAACUGCUUGUCUCUCAAAGUUUCAAAAUAAUUCUCAAGUGCUCGGCAUGCUUGGUCUCAUCACGAGAAUAAAUUAGUAUAUCAUCAAUAAAAACAACAAUAAAUUUAUCUAAGUACAGUCUAAAAAUUUGGUUCAUUAAAUUCAUAAAUAUAGUGGGAGCAUUCGUUAAACCAAAUGGCAUAACCAGAACUUCAUAGUGACCAUACCUCAUCCAAAAACCAGUUUUUGGCACAUCUGAGUCUUUAACUCUCAACUGGUAGUGACCAGACCUCAUUGGAAAAUACUGUGGCUCCUUUCAAUUGGUCAAACAAGUCAUCAAUUCUUGGUAAAGGAUACUUGUUCUUUAUGCUUACCUUAUUGAGUUGUCGCUAGUUAAUGCACAAUCUCAUUGAACCAUCUUUCUUUUUCACAUAUAGUAAUGGUGCGCCCCACGGAGAAUAACUAGGUUUUGCAAAACCUUUAUAUGUUAACUCUUGUAACUGAACUUUCAAAUCCAUUAAUUCUAUCGGACCCAUCCUAUAUGGAGUAAUCGAAAUAGUGUAGUACCAAAAAUUAACUCAAUACCAAAAUCAAUUUCCCUAAUUGGAGGCAAUCCGGGCAACUUUUUCGGAAACACCUUUGGAUACUCACAUACUACGACACCAACUUAAUUUUUAACUCAGACUCCUUUAUAUUUAACACAAGGGCAAGAUAAGCUUCACAAACCUUUCUCAUACAUUUUCGAGUAGUCAUAAAAGAAAUCACUACAGGCAAGCUAUCCGAUUCAUCUGGUUCAACUCGAAAAAUAUCACCACUUUCACAUUUCAAUUCAAUGAUUCAUGCGUGUGAGAUCUCCCGAGUAUCCUUUAGUAUUCCAAGUAGUUCAACGGGAAACUUAAUGACAAUGUUUAAGUUGUGAAAGACUAUGGUAUGUUGUGAAAGAUUAUGGUAAGUUGCAAGUUGGUACAUGUAUGUACGUAAAACGCGUAAUGAGCUCGAUAUGUGAUGAACCCUCGAUGUGUUAUGAUUGAGUAAGUUAUGAUGUUAAGGUUUUAAUAACAUCUAUGUUAAGUUUGAUUAUGAAAUUUUACAAUGAUAUUUAUGUUAAUUUACUUCAUGUUAAAUUUAUGCUAAAGUGUGUAUGAUGCCUAUUAUUUGCAUAGGAACUUACUAAGAUUUAAAGCUUACUUCCCUUUCUUUUUCCCUUGUCUUAUAGUGUCACCAAGCCAACUCGAGGAUCAAAGGCGGUCAAAGAUCCAUUCACACUAUCAAAUUAUCAUUUUGGGUACUUAUGAUUACAAUAUUUUGAGCUAUGUCAUGUAUAGAGACUUGACCUUUUUAUUAUGUGUCAUAGGUGAUUUGGCCAAAAGUGUUGGCUUAUGUUAUUUGAUAAUUCAUUUUGUAAAUGGCCCUCGAUAUUGGCUAAUAUUGGUUAAGUAUAUAUAUGCAUAGGAAGAUGUCUUUCAUGAAUGUAAACUUUACAUGGUUUAUGAUGAUAAGUUUGUGAUGUUGUAUGUGAUAGGAAAUAGCAUGUAAUUGGUGUGUGGAUGAUUUGGCUGUGGUUGAAUUGGUUGUAUGUAUAUACUUAGAUUUGUACUGCUUUUAGUUGUGUAGGUUGGUGCAAGUAAGGGUAGCAAAAUGACUUGGUAAAUAGCCUUAUUGUUUUCCACAUGGGUAGACACACGGGCGUGUGUCUAAGCCAUGUGUGACACAUGGCUUGUCCCAUGGGUGUGUGAUCCGAUCGUGUGUCCCCUACAUUUUGAAUUUUAGCUUUUAUUUGGCCACAAGGGUAGAGACACGACUAUGUCUUAGCCGUGUGAAGGACAUGGCCUAGGGACAUGGGCGUGUGCCCAGGGUGUGUGAAGUCUGCACCUAUUUUAUGAAAAAUUAUGAAAAUUAAAUCACCUACACAGCCUAAGCACACGGGCGUGUGACUUCAAUUUGUUGAUGACAUCAUAAACAGAGAGUUACACGAGUUAGGGAUACGGGUGUAUGUGAUCACAUGGCCUACCCACAUGGGCGUGUCCCAAGCCACACAAGCGUGUGACCCCUGUUUUGGAAAAAAUUUUCUAAGUGUGGGGAAAUUUUAUAAAGUUCUCAGAUAAGUCUCGAACCACUCCUAAUGCAUAUUUUGGGCCACGUAGGCUCAUUUCAAGGACUAUAUGAAUGCUUAUGAAAAGUUUUAAAUUUGAGUGGAAAUUCAUGUCCUGGUUUUGAAUGUUUGCUUGAGUUUAAGUCUGGAAAUGCCUCGUACCCUGUUCUGGCAUCUGGAAACACAAAAAUUUACACAUUUUUUUCAUACCCUUGUUAACUUAAAUUCAUGCGAAUUCGGUUAAAUUCUUGUCGAAAAAUUAUUUUUUUUUAUAAAAUAAUUAAAGAAAAUAAUUAAAGUGCACUUAAAAUAUGAACAUGUUGAAUUUGAGUUAAUUUCAUAAUAAGUUUUGAAAUAUUUUGGUUACUUUCGACAGAUUUGCACAAAGGGUGGAAAAUGCAAUAAACACUGCUAGAAGCACAAAACCAAGAAGUAACUUGAAGUAUCGAGGCAAACUAAAUUUCAAUCUAAGACGAUCCAAAAUUAUAUGUAUUUAUUCAUAAUAUAAUUAAUUUUAAUUUAUAUCCAAUUUAAAUUGGGUUAAUAAAUUAUGAUUAAUUAGUUAUGAAAAAGUAGUCCGAUUCAACCGAACUGGCCAAGAAAAUGACAGCCCAAAACCGUCGAAGUGUUGACCCAAUUAAGCUCAUUGGCUGAUUAUUUAAGCUGCAAAGGAGCCCUUGAAGACUUGUUCAAAUUGCAGUUAGACCCCUCCACAAUUGGUGGCUUCAUAGAUUUGCCCCAAGCCAUAUUUAGCAAAGUUGAAGCCAUCAACUUUUCCAUAUAGGUGGCCGGCCAAGGGGUGGCUCUUUGGCUGCUAUUUUUAGCAAAUUUUAUCUACCACAUUCAGCUAUAAAAACCCCCUCUUGGCUGAUCAUUCAAAGCAUCCCUCAUUCAUUCACAUCUCUUAUCUCCUCUCUCACUUUCCCCUCUCAUUUUCCCAUUCCAAGUCCCUUGCUCUCUUGCCGAUUUCUACUCUUGGAAAAGGGGCAUUCAUCAGCCAUUUUGGAGAAACAUUGAGUGUUCAUAGUAGCCUUGAUCAGUGAGGACGACAGAGAAUGAAGACAGAGCAACCUAGUCAAGCCAUGGAGAAACACUGAAUUUGAUUCUUGUUCCCUAUCUCUUUAAUUUUUGUUGUUGUUAUGAUGAACAUAUCUAUGAAUAUUUAUGCUGUUGGAAUAGUUAAUUUAAUCAGCUUAGCUUGAAUUUAAUUCAUGUUGGUCUGAUUGUAUUUCAUCUACUUAAAUUAUUAAACUUGUGUUUAUGCUAUUAUAGGCCUCAGUAAAAUGUUUCAUUAAGUAGAAUCAUGCCUAAGUUAUUCUUGCAUUAAAAUUGUGAGGUAGCUAAUGAAUUAAUUAUUUAAACGGAUUGAAAUUGUAAUUAAUUGACACAAUACUUAAUCAGUACGUGUUUAUUUUUCUAAGGUAGUUGAAUGUUAAAUUAGCAAUGUAUCGAUACACUUGCCUUGCAUAACUUGCAAUAUUACUGUGAUUAAACUGUUUCAAGGUAAGGAUAACUUGUUACCUCACAUAGUCUUUUAUGUGCUUAUUGGAUUUAAUUAAUCGUCUGAAUUGACAUAGGGAUAUGCAAGAGAUUAGUUCAAUUUAAUGAGUAUGUGUGUGCCAUAACAUGUUUGCUUAUUAAAAUCUAUUUAAUCGUUUGAAUUAACAUAGGGAUAUGUUAAGAGAUGAAUGGACUUAUGUAGGUGAAUAUGUUCAUAAGUUAGAAAAUUACUGAGUUGCCAUGAAUUUAUUCGUAACAACAUAAGCAUGAGUUUAAUAAUUCUAAGUUAAAGAAAUGUAAUUAAUCCAACACAAUUAUGUCAUCUUGAUUAAAUCAUACUUUGAAAUCAUGCAUUUGAGAUUUUUUUCUUUAGUUUACUUAGUUUAAAAUCUUAAUUUUUAAUCACCCUAUUCAAACAAAAUAUUUUUCUUCACCAAAGUGUUUUAAAUAGCAUUCAUAAAUAAUUCUUUUCGCGGUCCAUGUGGGUACGAUAACUCGACAUUUACUUGCCACUUUAUUCCUUGUUGUGACUGUGUACACUUGCACAUUUCUGUCGUUCCAACAUCAAAUAUGGGUAAGGGGUGUUACAGCUAUAAUAAUCUCGAAGGCACCUGAUGUUCAACUUUUACUUGCUAACAUAUCAAACAUUCAGAUACAUAUUCAGAAAUAUCCUGUUUCAUUCCUGGCCACCAAUACAUCUUUUUCAAAUCAUUUUACAUUUUGUUACUACGAGAUGAAUAGACAUAGUACCAUUAUGAGCUUUAUAUAGAAUCUUCUGUACAAAUUUUGAAUUCCUUUGUACACAUAUUCUACCUCUGAAUAAUAAACAUCAGAUCCAAUCUAAAAUUCUGAAUCAGAAGUUGAUUCACACGAUAUUCAUUUUGCCUGUAACUCACUAUCAUUUUUCUGAGCUUCACAAAUCUAUUGCAGAAAUGUCAUCUUAGCUUUUAACUCAGCUAUAAUUGAAUCAUCAUCUGAUAAUGACAAUUGGGUAUUCAUUGCUCGUAGAGCAAAUAAAGACUUUCUGCUUAGAGCAUCAGCAACUAUAUUGGCUUUUCCUAGAUGAUAGUCAAUAACGAAAUCAUAAUCUUUUAAUAAUUCAAGCCACCUGCGCAGUUAUAAGUUCAAUUCUUUUUGUGACAUCAAAUACUUCAAACUUUUAUGAUCGGUGAAUAUAUGACAUUUUUUACCAAACAUGUAGUGCCAUCAUAUUUUCAAUGAAAACACAAUGGCUGCCAAUUCAAGAUCAUGUAUCGGGUAAUUUCUUUCAUGUGGUUUUAGAUGUCUUAAAGCAUACGCUAUUACUUUACCUUCUUGCAUCAGUACACAACCUAAACCUUUCCAUGACUGUAUCACUUUAAAUUACAAAUUCUUUACUAAACUCUGGUUGAACUAACACAGGUGCAUCAGUUAAUAAAGCUUUUAAUUUCUCAAAACUCUAUUGACAUUUAUCAGACCACUCGAAUUUUACAUCUUUCUGCAACAAUCAAGCCAUCGAGGAAACUAUCAUUGAGAACCUUUUAACAAACCUUCGAUAAUACCAGCUAGUCCCAGAAAACUUCUAACUUCAGACACAUUCUUUGGUGGUUUUCAAUUAACAAUAGCUAAAAUUUUAUUCAGAUCCACUCGGAUACCUUCUACAAAUACUAUAUGUCCGAGAAAACCAACUUCUCAUAGCCAAAAUUCUCAUUUACUAAAUUUGGCAUAUAAUUGUUUCUCACACAGAGUUUGCAACACAAUUCUCAAAUGAUCAGCAUGUUCAUUUUCAUCUUAAGAAUGUACUAAGAUAUCAUCAAUUAAUACCACCAAAAACCUGUCUAGAUAUGGUCUAAAAAUUUUGUUCAUCAAAUCCAUGAAUACUGCAGGUGCAUUUGUCAAGCCAAAUGGUAUUACAAGAAACUCGUACUGCCCAUACCUAGUUUUGUAAGCUGUCUUUGGAACACCUGAUUCUUUUACCCAUAGCGGAUAGUAACUGGAACGAAGAUCAAUCUUUGAAAAUACAAUGGCACCUUUCAAUUGAUCAAACAAGUCAUCAAUACGAGACAAUUGAUGCUUAUUCUUUAUUAUGACUUUGUUGAGCUACCUAUAAUCAAUACACAACCUCUAUGAUCCAUCUUUCUUCUUUACAAAUAGAACAGUUGCACCCCAAGGUGAGAAAUUGGGUCGAGCAAAGCCUCUAUCAGUUAAUUCUUGUAACUGUACUUUCAACUCUUUCAAUUCGGUAGGAGCCAUUCUAUAGAAUGCUAUGGAUAUAGAUGUCAUUCUCGGAACAAGAUCUAUAGAGAACUCCACUUCUCUAACUAGUGGUAAACCAGGUAAUUUCUCUGAAAAUCCAUCAGGAAAUUCACAAACAACUGGUACUGACUAAAUCUUCGACUUAGAUACUUUAGUAUCCAACACAUAGGCAAGAUAAGCAUCGUACCCUUUUCUGAUAUAUUUUUAUGCUGAUAUUGCUGAGAUCACGUUAGAUAUCCCAUCCAAUUUAUCAGAUUCAACAUGGAGUAACUCACCAUUCUGACACUUCAACACAAUGUAUUUCAGUUUACAAUUCACUACUGCAUCAUGAUGAGUUAGCCAGUCCAUUCCCAAAAUCACAUCAAAUUCAUCAAAGGGCAGUAACAUCAAAUCAGCUGAGAAACAAUAACCUUUUACCAUCAACAGACAAUUUUUACAAAUUUUAUUCACCAUAACAUACUGGCCCAAAGGGUUUGAAACUUUAACCACAAAUUCAGUGAACUCAACAGGUAAGUUUUUAAUAGACAGUAAUUUUGUGCAUAUGUAUGAAUGUGUUGAACUAGGAGCUAUCAAAGUAGUAAUAUCAGUAUCAAGUAAAGAAAAUGUACCAGUAAUGACGUCUGGUGCAGAGGCAUCCUCUCUUGCACGUAUAGCAUAUGUCCUUGCCAGUGCUCGUGCCUCGGAUUUAACUAUUGACUCUUUUGUAGCACUUCACUACCACUGACAUUUCUAGGGUGUUGGGGUGGUCUACCUCUCGAACCAGGGCUGCCUGGCUUCGAAGUCUGAUCAGUAUCAUUUUCAAUCCUUUUCGGACAAUCUUUAAGAAAAUGGUCAAGAGAACCACAUCUAUAACAUGCUCCACUUCUCAAACAACAUUCCCCAAAAUGAAAUUUAUUACAGUGUUUACACCUUGGUUUGAGGUUACUGGCACUUGUUACAGAUGGAGACGAAGAUCUCAAGUUAGAACGUUAAUAGCCUCGCUCUUUUCCGGAAUAUCCCACAGAUACAAUAAAGCAACCAUGGUAUUUCUUUGAUUUCUUUAAAGCAGAUGAUUGUGACUUGCCCAUAAAUCUUUUACCAGAUACCGAGCUUCUCUCUCUUCUUACAAUUCUUUUCUUUACUUAAUUCCUCAGCUUUGUUUUCUCGAUCAGCUAGUACCACAAAUUCCCUUAAUUCAAGAAUCUCAAUCAAUAACUUGAUAUCUUCAUUUAAUCCUUCUUCAAAACGUUUACACAUAUCAACCUCGGUCGAAACCCAUUCUCUGGCUACUUGCUUAAUUGAACAAAUUCCCGCUCGUAUUCAAAUACAGUCAUAUUUCCCUAUUUGAGCUCCAAAAAUUCUUUCUUUUUUUGACCCAGAAAUCUCUAACUAAUGUACUUGUUUCUAAAUUCUGUUUGAAAAAAUUCCUAUGGAACAUUUUCCCUCGGCAUAGCAGAAGUUAUAGUAUUCCACCAUUGAUAGGCUAUGUCUUUUAGUAAAGAUACUGCGCAUUUCAAGCAUUCGGCUGGUGUACAUGGUAAUUCAUCUAAAAACCUGAUGGUAAUUCCAACCAAAACUCAACUCUCUCCAGAUUAUCAUUGGUAGUAUCCUUAAAUUCUUCUACCUUUUUUCGAAUUUUAUCCACUAAAGGCUUACUGAUUCUGACAGGUUCAACAGCCUGUGACAUCUCUGACACCGGUUGAAGAGCAGGUGGGGGAGGUUGUUAUAUAGCAGGAUUUGUUCUCAAGUAUUCAGUGAACCACUCAUUCAUCAUUUGAAAUAAGGCUUCUUUUGCCUCCUCACCUCAACCCUCAGAUGCGGGCCUUCUACUACUACUAGAUGGAGUUCGUUGAAUGGAAGCUUGAGCAGUGCUCUUAGCUUCCUCGAAUUCAGCUCUAGCUUGGUUGGAUGACAUUACUAUAUAAAAAACAUAUUUAAAAUGGCCAGGAGAUAUCACACUAUCACAAAUUAUAUAAUGGCAUGUAUAGCUAAACUCGUACUCGCUACGUUAAUCUGAGAGUUGGCUACACCAUAGUUCUGAUACCAAUAAAUGUAACACCUCUAACCCGUAUCCGUCGCCGAAACAGGGUUACGAAGUAUUACCGGAGUUUACAAAACAAUAAUAGAUAAUUCAUGUCAUUUACUGUUCAUAUCAAAAACUAAUCAUAUCAUCCCUUUAAUGGACCCUCAAGACCCAAUUUAAUCAUUAGAAACAAGUCAGUACUAAAUCGGGGUCUCAGAAUAUUUAUUGCAAAAUUUCAAAAUUUUUCUUAUAUCCAAGGGUCACAUGCCCGUGUGAGUAGGUUGUGUGUCUCAGAUGGCCAAGUGACAUGCCCAUGUCAUAGGCUUUGCAACUAUUCGAUGGGAGGCACACGGUCGUGUCCUAGCCCAUUUCCAUACCCGUGCAACUCUCUGACUUAGGUCACACGGCCAACCACAAGCCCGUGUGUUAGGUGGUGUGGUUAAUUUAAACUUUUGAAAUUUAGGUGCAGGUUUCACAUGGCCAAGAUACACACCUGUGUUCUAGGCCAUAUGUUACACAUGGCUAAGACACAUGCCCAGGUCUCCGCUCGUGUGCCCAAUUCUAAGCAUUCUGUUUCUCAAUUUUAAGAUGAAGGGGACACAUGACCAAACCACAUGGCCAUGUGCCAUGCUGUGAAAAAAUAAAGUCAUUUCCUAGUUUUAUUUCUCACCCAAAUUUUUACCAUUAACCUACAACAACACUUAUACAUAUAUACCUACCAAUUCCAAGCAUUAAACUAAGCAAACAUCAUUAACAUGCAUAAUAUAUUCUACCCUAAUUCAAUCUAACCAUACUAUAUACACAUAUAUUAAGCAUGAUAUAACCUUAUAAUAAUAUACCAAAAUAUACAAUCACUACCCAUUCUAAUGGUUAGAUUACAAACAUCCCUUUACAUGCCAACAUUGACAAGGUUAGCCUAUACAUGCCAUUAUACCAAAAUAAGUUUAUUAUUUAUACGAUGGUGAGUUGAAGGAUAGUGUGAAGAUGCUCUGACUGAUCUCCAACCUUUACGAGCUUCCAAGCACUAUAAAAUAGAGAAAAUAAAACCUAGUAAGCAUUUAAUGCUUAGUAAGUUCGUAUAACAGGAACUAACCUUACCAAACAUAUUCAUUUGAAUAAUCAUAACAAUAACAUACUUCCCAACAAAUUGGCAAGUUUGCCUAGUCAUGUACACUCAAUUAAGCAAGUUAGUCAUAUAUUUCACAUGUACAUCAAAUAAACAUGGAUGAGCUCAUCAUGCUACAGACUUUCAAGUAUUUCAGAACCAUUCGAGACAUAAUUCCUUUAAUCUCACAAUUUCUCAUGUUAGGAGUUUUAUCUGUUGAAUUAUUGAAAUUUCGAUGGAUACUCAGAUAGUAUACAUGAGGUAUACAUAUCAGUGAUCCGUCAAUUCAUGUUCAGGGGUACCUGAUGUGACAGCCCAAAGUUGACCCUAGUCGGGAAGUGGUUUCGGGACCGCUAAACCGAGUCACCGAAAUGUUUGAAUGUGAUACUUAUUGUGUAGAAUAUGUAAUUAUGAAUGUGUGAAAAUUUCAAGCUUUAAUUGGGUUGAUUUCAUGUGAAUUUAGUCAAUAGGACUUAUGUGAGAAAAUUCUAAAAUGUGAUAGGUCAAUGUGUGAGGACCUACUAGUGCAUGUGGACAAAGGGGGGACUUGCAUGUCAAAUUUCCCCCCCCUAAUGAGUAGUGGCCGGCCAUGACAAGGAAGGAUGGGCAAAACAUGUCAUGAAACAUGUUUUGUUAGUGGAAGAAUAAAAUAAGGAGUAUGGGUAAUAAAGAAAUGGAAAACAAAAGAAAAAAAAAAGGUGUGUGUGGUGUUUGUCCCCCCAUUGCCGUGAGCUAAACAAGAGAAAGGGGGAAUUUUGUUCAUCCUUUUCUCAUCUUCAUGCUUGCCAAAAACUAGAAAGAAAAACAAAGAAAAAUUUUCUCAUCCUUUGGUUCAUCCUUGGCCAAAAAUUUUAAGGAGGAAAGAAGAAGAAAGGUGAAGAGAUUCGGCCAUGCAUGUAGCUAGGCUAAGCUCAAGAGCAAAGGGGAAAUAAAACCGAUAAAGGGAAGGAAAAAGUGGUUGAAUAGCUAGCGGAAUCGUUCGACAACACCCGAGAUUUUUGGUUCUCCAGCUAUCGGACUCGGGAUCUUGAAGUCGAAGUCGCCCACACUAUCAAAGGCUCUUUUGGGUACUAUUUUGGUUGAAUUUUGUUAUGGCAUGUAUAGGACUACCCAUUGUUGUCUUUCGAGUACUUUAUGAAAUGUAUAAGUGUACAGCCAUGCGAAAAUGGCUUGUAGAAGUGGAGUAUGGCAUUAGACCAUUCGUAUUUGUGAAUGUAUAGAUGGUUUCAUGAUGUAACUAUGUUGGAAUGGAAGUGUUGAGCAAAUGAUCAGCCACUAGAAUGGCUAAGUAUGAUCAUAUGUGGGCUUAUGUAUGACAAGGCCCUAGUUGGUCCAUGAAACCCCAAAUUAGGUAAGGUUCACUUUGAAAACAGAAGCUGAUAGCAGCAGUGGUGUGGAUUGGAAAAAUCACAAGAAUUCGUAGGAGUGGUAUUAAAUAGUGAAUAAAUUAUGUAAUCAAACCUUGAUGAAUCUACUUUCAUAUGGAAGUAACGAAACAAUUAUAGGAACAGUACAGAAAGAGAUAUUCGGGUUCUUGUGGAACAGGGCCAGAACAGUUUCUGGAUUCACUGUUCCGCCUUUGGAAAUUCACUAUAAAUUGACCAGAGAUAAUUAGGGGUCAUACCAUAUAUGUAUGGAUUCCUCUCUGAGUCUAGUUUCCAUAGAAACAAACGGCAUCAGUAUUGAAGCUCUGUGCAGAGAGAUAUCCCAGUCGUAAUGGGAAAAGGUCAGUGUAGUCGACCCCUGUAACACGGGAUACUUUGACUAAUAAACUGUACUAAUUGGCCCGACCAAAAAUUCUAGAAAAAAAUCCAUAGGUGGGGACAUGAGUCUAGUUUCAGGGAAAAAUCACAAAACUAAUUUUUGAGUUGUGAAACUCAAGUUAUGAUUUUUGAAGCGACUAGUACUCAGACUGGGCAGUGUCUGGAAAAUUUUUUUUCAAAGUUUGUUAACAUCUCGUGUCCGACUCCGGUGUCGGUCUCGGGUUCGGGGUGUUACAUUUUAUUGGUAUCAGAGCUACGGUUUAGUCGAUUCUAGGACUACCGUAAUGUUUUGGGUCUAGCUAUACAUGCCAUUUUAUGUGAUUACUUGAUAGUGUGGUGAUUUCCGACAAUUGUAAAUGUGUUUAUUUAUAGUAAUGGAUCCCGAUCGUGACCGAGAGGUAGCUGAUGAUCUUGAGAGUGUAGCGCCUGCUCCCGCACAAGGGACAGUGCCGGCA
rnacentral:lncRNA from 1 species